rnacentral:rRNA from 1 species
AGAGUUUGAUCCUGGCUCAGGACGAACGCUGGCGGUGUGCUUCACACAUGCAAGUCGAACGAGGUAGCAAUACCUAGUGGCGGACGGGUGAGUAACACAUGGGAAUCUUCCUUUGGGUGGGGGAUAGCAGGCCGAAAGGCCUAUUAAUACCGACUAUAUGUGCAUAUUUCGACAGAGGUAUGCAUGAAAGCAGUAAUGCGCCCGAAGAUGAGCCCGCGCCCGAUUAGCUAGUUGGUAGUGUAACGGACUACCAAGGCUACGAUCGGUAGGUGGUCUGAGAGGAUGAUCACCCACAAUGGGACUGAGACACGGCCCAUACUCCUACGGGAGGCAGCAGUGGGGAAUUUUACGCAAUGGGGGAAACCCUGACGUAGCGACACCGCGUGAGCGAUGAAGCCCCUUGGGGUGUAAAGCUCUGUCGGCUGGGACGAAAAAAAUGACGGUACCAGCGAAGGAAGCAUCGGCUAACUACGUGCCAGCAGCCGCGGUAAGACGUAGGAUGCAAGCGUUGUCCGGAUUCAUUGGGCGUAAAGCGUUCGUAGGUGGUUUAUUAAGUCUGAUGUUAAAGAUCGGGGCUCAACCUCGGGAGUGCAUUGGAUACUGGUAGACUUGAGUAUGGUAGAGGCGAGUGGAAUUCCCAGUGUAGCGGUGAAAUGCGUAGA